UUAACGGAGAGUUUGAUCCUGGCUCAGGACGAACGCUGGCGGCGUGCUUAACACAUGCAAGUCGAACGAUGAGGGCCCGGGCUUGCCCGGGUCUGAUUAGUGGCGAACGGGUGAGUAACACGUGAGUAACCUGCCCCCGACUUCGGGAUAACCGCGAGAAAUCGUGGCUAAUACCGGAUAUGACGCCCCUGCCGCAUGGUGGGGUGUGGAAAGACUGUGUCGGUCGGGGGAUGGGCUCGCGGCCUAUCAGCUUGUUGGUGGGGUGAUGGCCUACCAAGGCGACGACGGGUAGCCGGCCUGAGAGGGUGACCGGCCACACUGGGACUGAGACACGGCCCAGACUCCUACGGGAGGCAGCAGUGGGGAAUAUUGCACAAUGGGCGCAAGCCUGAUGCAGCGACGCCGCGUGAGGGAUGACGGCCUUCGGGUUGUAAACCUCUUUCAGUAGGGAAGAAGCCUCUCGGGGUGACGGUACCUGCAGAAGAAGCGCCGGCUAACUACGUGCCAGCAGCCGCGGUAAUACGUAGGGCGCAAGCGUUGUCCGGAAUUAUUGGGCGUAAAGAGCUCGUAGGCGGUCUGUCGCGUCUGCUGUGAAAACGCGGGGCUCAACCCCGCGCCUGCAGUGGG
rnacentral:ncRNA from 1 species